rnacentral:ncRNA from 1 species
UCUUAUCUAGAGAGACAGAGGGACUGGCCCUAUGAUGUCCGGCAACCGACAUUUUUCAUUAGAAUGUGUGGUGCCAAUUCCAGCAGGUGGAGAACCUGAAAGAUGAGA